AACAUUUUCCCAAUGAAUACAUAGAGAUGGCCAAGAGGUACAAAAAAAGAUGCUCAACAUCAGUAACCAUCGGGCAAAUGCAAAUCAAAACUAUGAUGAGAUAUCAUCUCAUACCUGUUAGAAUG